rnacentral:rRNA from 1 species
GACGUAGGGCGCGAGCGUUGUCCGGAUUUAUUGGGUGUAAAGAGCUCGUAGGCGGCUUGUCGCGUCGAAUGUGAAAACUCGGGGCUCAACUCCGAGCUUGCAUUCGAUACGGGCAGGCUAGAGUUCGGUAGGGGAGACUGGAAUUCCUGGUGUAGCGGUGAAAUGCGCAGAUAUCAGGAAGAACACCUAUGGCGAAGGCAGCUCUCUGGGACGGUACUGACGCUGAGACGCGAAAGCGUGGGGAGCGAACAGG